GCGGCCUUGGCCUAUCGGUCGGGCAUCAGCCUUCCAAGCUGAGGAGCCGGGUUCGAUUCCCGGAGGCCGCUCCA
rnacentral:tRNA from 1 species